rnacentral:rRNA from 1 species
UACGGAGGAUGCAAGCGUUAUCCGGAAUGAUUGGGCGUAAAGCGUCCGCAGGUGGCUAUGUAAGUCUGCUGUUAAAGAGUGAGGCUCAACCUCAUAAGAGCAGUGGAAACUACAUGGCUAGAGUGCGUUCGGGGCAGAGGGAAUUCCUGGUGUAGCGGUGAAAUGCGUAGAGAUCCGGAAGAACACCAGUGGCGAAGGCGGUUAGCUGGGCAGUUGCUGACACUGAUGCGCGACAGCGUGGGGAGCAAACAGG